rnacentral:rRNA from 1 species
AAAGGUAGCAUAAUCAAUUGGCUUAUAAUUGAAGUCUAGUAUGAAUGGGAAUCCGGGGAAUAGCUAUCUAAGUUAAGAUAACAUAAAUUACUUAAUGAGUGAAAAGUCUCAUAAACAGAAGAAAGACGAGAAGACCCUAGAAAUUUUAUUAUUAAAUUCUAUAUAUUAUUUUGUUGGGGCGACAUAGUAACAAAUAACUUACUAUACUAUACAAGCUACUAAUUGAGUUGCGAGAUUAAAUUACUCUAGGGAUAACAGCAUUAUUCAAUAUGAGUUUAUGACCUCGAUGUUGGACUAGGAAAUAAUUUUUUUAGAAGAUAAAUUAUCUGAGCUCUGUUCGAGCACUACCUCCUACAU